rnacentral:rRNA from 1 species
UACGGAAGGCGCAGUGGGGAAUAUUGCACAAUGGGCGCAAGCCUGAUGCAGCCAUGCCGCGUGUAUGAAGAAGGCCUUCGGGUUGUAAAGUACUUUCAGUCGUGAGGAAGGUGUUAAGGUUAAUAACCUUAGCAAUUGACGUUAGCGACAGAAGAAGCACCGGCUAACUCCGUGCCAGCAGCCGCGGUAAUACGGAGGGUGCGAGCGUUAAUCGGAAUUACUGGGCGUAAAGGGCACGCAGGCGGUUAAUUAAGUUGGAUGUGAAAUCCCCGGGCUUAACCUGGGAAUGGCAUUCAAGCUGGUUAGCUAGAGUCUUGUAGAGGGGGUAGAAUUCCAUGUGUAGCGGUGAAAUGCGUAGAGAUGUGGAGGAAUACCGGUGGCGAAGGCGGCCCCUGGACAAAGACUGACGCUCAUGUGCGAAAGCGUGGGGAGCGAAACAGGGGUUAGAUACC